GCGCAGCGAAGCCGGCACAAUGCCAGCCGCCGCCGUAGUCUCCCCUCUCCUCCUCUCGCUCUCCUCGUCCUCCUCCCCCUUCCUCUCUUCCUCAUCCACCUCCUUUUUCCCACCCUCCUCCGCUGCCGUCACUCCACACGCCGCCGUCAGGACGAGGGCGGCUGUCUCCGUCCUCCGCGCGCUGCGCGCCGAGGCGGCCACCCUCCCCGUGCUCUCAUUCACCGGAGAGAAGGUCGGGGAGGUAACCCUCGACCUCAAAUCCGCGCCACCCUCCACCGCGCGCGCUGUCGUGCACCGCGCU
rnacentral:lncRNA from 1 species